GCGAGACAGGUUAGUUUUACCCUACUGAUGACUGCGUUGCGAUAGUAAUUCAACCUAGUACGAGAGGAACCGUUGAUUCACACAUUUGGUCAUCGCGCUUGGUCGAAAAUCCAGUGGCGCGAAGCUACCGUGUGUCGGAUUAUGACUGAACGCCUCUAAGUCAGAAUCCAGGCUAGAGAAGCGGCGCUUAAGCUCAAUGACCUCCUCUUGACCCACAGUAGGGAUGUGCAAGCAUUCCCACGGGCACAUGCCAAAGGACUUGACCUAUUCGACAAAUUUGUCGUAGGGUCUUCCUUAGAUUGAAAUUCCGUAAGGUCCAUUGAUUGAAUCCUUUGCAGACGACUUAAAUACACGAUAGGGCAUUGUAAGUGGUAGAGUGGCCUUGCUGCCACGAUCCACUGAGAUCCAGCCCUUAGUCGCAUAGAUUACCC
rnacentral:rRNA from 1 species